UGAGCUGGGGAAAUAGUAAGGGGGAUCCUUGCUGUCCCCGUAUUUUGGUCCAAAAUUUCGGCGGGAAAAGGGGAAGCUCCUCGAUGUUUGUCUCGAGAUUUGUAUUCACGCGUGGUCUUUCCCUUCGACGCGUGUAAAGUGUUUCUAGGGUUUUCGAUUCUACCCCUCCGAUUCCUCCUCCUGAUUCCUUUAGUUUCCUUUUCUCUCCCUCUUGAAGAUUUCUUGCGAUCUCCAUAUCUCAACUUGGGUCUUCAUUCCGCAGGUAACUUCUCCUUCUCUUUCGCCUACUUUUAGAUUCUUUCUUCCUUCUGCUCCUGAGAUGAGGACUGAGGCGGGUCUCUCUCCAGAUUCUUCUUCCAUAGGUAGCACAGUUAGAUCUAGUAGAUUGAGGGUUGAUCCAACGAAAUCUAUGGAUUCUUUCGAUUGUUCUCUC
rnacentral:lncRNA from 1 species